GAACUCAGCUCUAGACGUCAAACUGUACGCGGUAUGAUUAGAACAAGCAUAAAAGCAAAACAAAAUUUGAAGAGUUAGGAACCAAAGAGACAUAUAAGUAUGGGAUUAAUCAAUUGAAGUAUUACCCAUACCAUUUAAAACCCUAAAGUUUGAACCAUAAAUAAUUUAAAAAUGUCAAAGUGAACUAUCCCUCCACUCAACUUUUUUUUUUUCAAAAAAAUUGAUUUAUGGUUUUAGUGCCCUAUACACUAAGUAGUUUUAAUUUGACGUAUAAGUUGCAUCAAUACAAUUACCAAGAUUCAAUGUGGAACAGAAAAUUCACUCAAUUUGAUUUCAUUCUAAUAAGUUCAGUAUUGUCAGAUUCUUGGAGAAAUUUGCCAUUUUUUGAUUGCUGACCCAGUAGGAAGUUCUUAAGCCCUUUUCAAUAUAAAACUAAAAUUAACAAUGAAGUUGUAAUGGUUAAGAACUCCUCAUCAAUGGACAGAGCUAAAUUUUCAACAAUUAAUAAAAACCCUCUCUACAAUGAGUAACAACCCCGCUCUAUGAGCUGAAAGCUACUCUCCAUAGGCAAAGCCUAAAUAACCUCUCAACAAUACUCCUAUAAAUGGCAACAUCGAGAUCAUCAAUAGUAAAAUUAGAGUUAAACUCAGAAACAUAAUUAGAAUCAUCAGGAAUUAAAGAAGACUCGCUACAUUCUUCAGGAACUAAUUCUAGGGAUGUUGGUUAAUCAAUUGAAUCAAACCCAAUGAUUGUAUCUGUCUUAUUCUUAUGCAUAUAGGUUCUCAAAUCCAAUCUACCCAAUCUCCCUGCGGUUUGAGGAGGUGAGCAACCAGGUUCUAUUUACAUGGCUUAUUAAUAAGGUGUGACCCAAACCUAAUAGUCUCCCUUGAAGCCUAAUAGCCCGGUUAUGAAUCCUUAUGCUCCCCCUAAUAGCUUGUUUGGGAGAAUUUUUGGAGGUAAGGAAUUGGUUUUUAAAGUAUUAUAUUUGUUUGGGAGGAAGAUUUUUUAAAGUAGUUAAGGUUUUUGGAGGUUUCACUAAAACUCUCACUUUUUCAACCUACCAAAUUAGUGGGUUGGGAAGGUUUCGCUACCUUACCUCCCAUUAUCUUACCUUAUCUUACUCUAUAAAAUCUUCUCUCACUCCAUCCAAACAUACUAUAAAGAGGUCACUUUACAGGCAAAUAAGACUCAGAUUCUCUAAAAGUAACAUCCAUACUGACAAAUUAUUUUCUAGUAGGAGGAUGAUAAUAUUUAUAGUCCUUUUGAGUACCAGAUAUCCUACAAAUACACAUUUAAGAGCUCUAAGUUCUAACUUCUCAAAUUUUGUUUUGCAGACUAAACAGCAUCCAAAAAUCUUUGAAAGGACAGUAUAAGAAUUAUAAUAUAGUAAAACCUCUAAAGGAUUUUUAAAGUUUACUGUUUUUAAAGGCAUUCUACUACAUCCCCCCAAUAAGGUGUAAGAAGAUUAACAGUAAACAUAAAAGAUAGAGCCACCUCCAAUAAAUGUCUUUUUUUUUUUUCUUUCAAAUACUCCAUUUUGUUCAUUAGUAUUGACACAAAUAGUUUGACGCACUAUACCAUUUGAAUCUAAAAAAGCACGAAAAACAACAUUAACAUGUUUUGUGCCAUUAUCAUUUCUUAAAAUUUUAACUUUAGCAUCAAACUGUAUGCAAAUCAUUUUGUGAAAC
rnacentral:misc_RNA from 1 species